rnacentral:rRNA from 1 species
CAGUAGCCACGGUAAUACAGAGGGUGCGAGCGUUAAUCGGAUUUACUGGGCGUAAAGCGUGCGUAGGCGGCUUUUUAAGUCGGAUGUGAAAUCCCUGAGCUUAACUUAGGAAUUGCAUUCGAUACUGGGAAGCUAGAGUAUGGGAGAGGAUGGUAGAAUUCCAGGUGUAGCGGUGAAAUGCGUAGAGAUCUGGAGGAAUACCGAUGGCGAAGGCAGCCAUCUGGCCUAAUACUGACGCUGAGGUACGAAAGCAUGGGGAGCAAACAGGAUUAGAUACCCCGGUAGUCCCUGUCUCUUAUAU